CAAAGCAUUAAACCCACUCAAAAGAAGUUUGGAAGAAAAUAAAAACAACUACACCACUAGCCAAAAGAAGAAGAUGAAGUGACAAAUUUCAGCAAAAAAGAGAAAAAAAUUCCCGCCGCGUGCAGAAGUCAAAGAAUCGUACACAUGCAAACCAUCAGUCUGUCAUUAGAUAGUGCCCCGAAAUUAUCAUUCUCAAACUUAAACCAAUCAGAUUCGCCAUCAGGAAUAAGAUGAAGAGCAAAGGUAGAUUAGUGGGACAAAGAUGGCGGAGCAUAGGGGGCUUACCUUCAAUAUUUCUGCUAUGUCUUUUCUUCUUCCUCGCCGGUUUAUUCGGUUCUACUCUCGUUUCUCAUCAGGAUGUACAACUACUUACUGUACGGCCUAGGUCAAGGGUGCUUAAAUCUUUGGAAGAAUUUGAUGUUUUGCCUAAUGGCGACACUGGAGAACACUCCCUUACUUCCAUCCCCUUCCAGGUCUUAAGCUGGUUCCCACGUGCAUUAUACUUUCCCAAUUUCGCAACUACAGAACAAUGCCAAGGCAUAAUUAAGAUGGCAAAGGCAGAACUGAAACCAUCAUCUUUGGCUCUCCGCAAAGGAGAAACAGCAGAAAAUACCAAAGGAGUUAGAACAAGUUCUGGUAUGUUUAUCAGUGCAUCUGAAGACAAAACUGGAAUUCUGGACCUCAUUGAGGAGAAAAUCGCAAAGGUGACUAUGAUCCCCAGGACACACGGAGAGGCAUUUAAUGUUUUGCGGUACGAAAUCGGCCAGAGUUAUUAUUCACAUUAUGAUGCGUUUGAUCCUUCUCAAUAUGGUCCUCAGAAGAGCCAAAGGGUCCAGUCUAAAAAUAAUGUAUUUUCAUUUAGGUUGCAUCCUUUUUGUUGUAUUUAUCUGAUGUGGAAGAAGGUGGAGAAACCAUGUUCCCUUUCGAGAAUGCACAGAAUAUGGAUGCUAAUUAUGACUUCCGCAAGUGUAUUGGUCUGAAAGUGAAGCCGCGUAGAGGGGAUGGACUACUAUUUUACUCGCUGUUUCCAAAUGGUACAAUUGAUCCGACAUCUAUUCACGGGAGCUGUGCAGUAAUCCGAGGUGAAAAAUGGGUUGCCACAAAGUGGAUCAGGGAUCAAGAAAUGGAUGAAUAAACGAGUACAUGUCUGGAAGUGGUGUUAAUAUAAUUCUUUCGUAAUUUAAUGUAGCCACUCACUAGAACCUUAUAGCGAAUUUUACAGUAAAUAUAUCUAGUGUUUGUUCAUAUUGAUCUGUGUCAGUUAACCCUUAA